GAUGAACGCGGCGGCGCGCCUAACACAUGCAAGUCGAACGAUUAAAGCACCUUCGGGUGUGUAUAAAGUGGCGAACGGCUGAGUAACACGUGGGCAACCUGCCCCUUUCAUUGGGAUAGCCACGGGAAACCGUGGAUAAUACCGAAUACUUCGAGACUUCCGCAUGGAAGACUCGAGAAAGCUCCGGCGGAGAGGGAUGGGCCCGCGGCCUGUUAGCUUGUUGGUGGGGUAACGGCCUACCAAGGCAAUGAUGGGUAGCUGGGUUGAGAGACCGACCAGCCAGAUUGGGACUGAGACACGGCCCAGACUCCUACGGGAGGCAGCAGUGGGGAAUCUUGCACAAUGGGCGAAAGCCUGAUGCAGCGACGCCGCGUGCGGGAUGAAGGCCUUCGGGUUGUAAACCGCUUUCAGCAGGGACGAGGCGAAAGUGACGGUACCUGCAGAAGAAGCCCCGGCUAACUACGUGCCAGCAGCCGCGGUAAUACGUAGGGGGCAAGCGUUAUCCGGAUUCAUUGGGCGUAAAGCGCUCGUAGGCGGUCUGUUAGGUCGGGAGUUAAAUCCGGGGGCUCAACCCCCGCUCGCUCUCGAUACCGGCAGACUUGAGUUUGGUAGGGGAAGGUGGAAUUCCUAGUGUAGCGGUGGAAUGCGCAGAUAUUAGGAAGAACACCAGUGGCGAAGGCGGCCUUCUGGGCCAUAACUGACGCUGAGGAGCGAAAGCUAGGGGAGCAAACAGG
rnacentral:rRNA from 1 species